GUCUGGGGGCACGCAGCGGCUCUGGUCCCGGCGCCUGCACUCCCGCUGUGGCUGCGGCUUGGGCCUAGUGGAAGCGGGCGGGAAGGGCGGGUGUUGUGCUGCAGGGGCGCGGGGGCGCGGGGUGCCGCUUCACCUAUGUCUCUGUGUUCAUGGUAUACGGGCAUGGUGUGGUGUUAAAGUAUUAUUCAGCUUUUUUUUGCAGUGAUGUGAAUGGAGUUGUGAAAACAAUUGAAUUGCUUUUUAAAAGAGGCUUAUUUCGAAGUAAUUUCAGACUUACUCAAAAGUUGCUACAGUAGUACCAAGAAUUCCUUGUACCUUCACUUGCAUUCACAAAUUAAUAUUUUGCCACAUUUGCUUUACCAUUCGUUCUCUCCCCUUCUCUCCCUACACAUGCAUUUUUUCCCCUUUGAACUAUUUGAGGGUAAUUUGCAGGCAUCAUGCCCCUUUAUCUCUAAAUAGAAAUAACUUGUGUAUUUUUCCUAAGCAUAAGGAUGUUCUCUUUUAAUAACCACAGUAAUAUUUUCAGGAAAAUUAGAAUUGUUAUAAUAUUUGGUAAUCUAGAGUUCGUAUGAAAUUUCAGCAAUUAUCUCGAUAAUACCUUUUAUAGGAAAAUUUUUUCUUAGUGCAGAUCCAAUCCAAGAACGAGCAUUGAUUGCAUUUGAUUGUCCUUUUUGUUGCCUUUAAUCUGGAACAGGUUCGCAGCCUUUGUUUUCUGUAAGAUUGGUUUUUUUGAAAAGUGUAAGAAUUAUUUAUUGGAGUGUUUCUCCGUUUGGGUUUAUCUUAUAGAUGCUUGUUCAUUAGAUUGAUUAUGUAUUUUUGGCAGGAGCAUGAGAUGAGUGAUGUGUGGCCUGCUGUGGGGAGGUACAUGAUGUUGGUUUGUCACAUUAUUGAUAUUAACUUUGAUCACUUGGUUAAGAUGGUGUCUACAAGAUUUCUCCACUCUAACCUUUGUAAUUAAUAUGUAAUUUGUGGGGAAAUAUUUUGAGACAGUAAAUUGAGUCUUAGUAAACAAAUUAAAUAUCUUUUUUUUAGUACGAUUUUUCAAAUUUUUAUCAUUCUAAAUGUAAGAGAAGAACUCUAACUUCCCCAGGUAAGCCAGUAUUUUGUGUAUUUGGGGGUUUCAAAAAUUUAAUUUGAGGCCGGGCGUGGUGGCUCACGCCUGUAAUCCCAGCACUUUGGGAGGCCGAGGCAGGCGUAUCACCUGAGGUCAGGAGUUCGAGACCAGCCAGGCCAACGUGGUGAAAUCCCGUCUCUACUAAACAUAAAAAAUUAGCCAAGCAUGGUGGCGGGCGUCUGUAAUCCCAACUGUUCGGAAGGCUGAGGCAGGAGAAUUGGUUGAACCCGUGAGGCAGAGGUUGCAGUGAGCCGAGAUGGCACCACUACACUCCAGCCUGGGCAACAAGAGCGAAACUCAGUCUCAAAAAAGAAAAAAAUAGGCUGGGCGUGGUGGCUCACACCUGUUAAUCCCAGCACUUUGGGAGGCUGAGGCGGGCGGGUCACGAGGUCAGGAGAUCGAGACCAUCCUAGCUAACACGGUGAAACCCUGUCUCUACUAAAAAAAAAAUACAAAAGAUUAGCUGGGUGUGGUGGCGGGCUCCUGUUGUCCCAGCUACUCGGGAGGCUGAGGCAGGAGAAUGGUGUGAACCCGGGAGACGGAGCUUGCAGUGAGCUGAGAUCGCGCCACUGCACUCCAGCCUGGGCGACAGAGCAAGACUCCGUCUCAAAAAAAAAAAAAGAAAAAAAUAAUUUGAAAGAGAAGAUUUUAAAAAUAUUAUGUAGACUUAUGGCCAGUGCCAGAUAUUUUGUGAUACAUUGUUCUGGUAAUCUUUCGUGGUUUCUUGGUCAUUGACAGGUGAUUUGGAUAUCUACUCUGGAGAUAAAGUUGGUUCAUCGUUAAAAUAUUCUGAUGAAAGCAAGCAUUAUAGAACACCAUUGUGCAGCUUAUUCAAGCCUGCAAAUGUGAAUUGAUGAUGAACUGGAUUCUUUCCAUGAUUUGAAGAAACAGGAAACAGAAGAAGAGUUAAUUGGAAAUGAUUAUAGAGUUAGUACCUCCAAAAUAACCAAGCAGUCUUUUAAAGAAAUAGAAAAAGUUGCCCUGCCAACUAAUAUGACCUCAUCGAGACCUUGGACUGAGUGUUGUAGUGAUGCAGGUGACUCUCCUUUGAAAUCUGUCAGCUAUCCAAAAUCUAAAGCAUCAGACAAGCGCAGUUUACUUCCACAUCAGAUCAAUCAGAUAUAUGACGAAUUAUUUCAGAUACAUCUGAAACUGCAGUGUGAAACUGCAGCACAACAGAAAUUUGCUGAAGAACUUCAAAAGCGAGAACGUUUUUUACUUGAAAGAGAACAACUGCUUUUCAGACGUGAAAAUGCCUUGAGUAAAAUUAAAGGUGUCGAAGAAGAGGUUCUUACAAGAUUUCAAAUUAUAAAAGAGCAACAUGAUGCCGAAGUUGAACACUUAACCGAAGUUCUUAAGGAAAAGAAUAAAGAAGCCAAGAGACUGAGGUCCUCUUUUGAUGCAUUGAAAGAAUUGAAUGAUACCUUAAAAAAACAGUUAAAUGAAGCAAGUGAAGAAAACAGGAAGAUAGACAUUCAGGCUAAAAGAGUUCAAGCUCGUUUAGAUAAUUUACAGAGGAAGUACGAGUUUAUCACAAUACAGAGACUGAAAGGAAGUUCCCAUGCUGUUCAUGAAAUGAAAAGUUUAAAACAAGAAAAAGCACCAGUUUCAAAAACUUACAAGGUACCACUUAAUGGGCAAGUUUAUGAACUUUUAACUGUCUUCAUGGACUGGAUUUCGGAUCAUCAUCUUAGCAAAGUGAAACAUGAAGAAUCUGGAAUGGAUGGUAAAAAACCACAACUCAAAUUUGCUUCCCAGAGAAAUGAUAUUCAGGAGAAGUGUGUAAAGCUUUUGCCUCUGAUGACAGAGCAGCUACAGUGGAUGCCAUUUGUGAAUAUCAAACUUCACAAGCCUUUUGUAAAAUGUAUAUAUUGGUCCCUAAGGCAGCUAGAUGCUGGAGCACAGCACUCGACUAUGACAUCAACAUUGAGGAGAUUGGGUGAAGACAUUUUUAAAGGAGUGGUAACUAAAGGAAUUCAGGAUAGUUCACAGCAUUCUGUGGAGAAUAAACCAAAGACAGCUGCUUUCUUUAAGAGCUCCAAUUUGCCAUUGAGAUUUUUAUCAACCUUAAUUGUUCUCAAAACAGUCACUCAAGCUGAUUACCUGGCUCAGGCAUUUGAUUCUCUUUGUUUGGACUUGAAGACAGAAGAAGGAAAAACCUUGUUUUUGGAAUAUCAAGCUGUUCCAGUAAUAUUAAGUCAUCUAAGAAUAUCCAGUAAAGGACUCCUGUCUAAUGUUAUUGAUAGUUUGCUCCAGAUGACGGUGGAAUCUAAAUCCUUGCAGCCUUUCCUGGAAGCCUGUAGCAACUCUUCAUUUUUUCGUACUUGCUCUGUGCUGCUUCGAGCCCCUAAGCUUGAUCUCCAAAUACUAGAAAAACUCAGUAUUAUUUUACAGAAACUUUCCAAAAUCAAGAGUAAUAAGAAGCUCUUUGAACUUUUUACGAUUCAUCUGAUGCUUCAAGAAAUACAAAGGACAACUAACCCAGAGCAUGCAUUUCUCUGUAUUAAUCUAAAUUCAACUCUGUUCAAUUUGGGUUUAACAAAAUGUAACUCCCUGGUCUCCAGUGCAAGCCAUUAGACUGGCUAAUUUUUUAAUAUAGUAUAUGUGGUGCUUAUUUAUAAACAUGUAGAAAUUACCAAAGUAAUUACAAUUCUACCAAGUAAAGUUAUCAGUAGCAUCAUUUAUCACGAAAAAUAAAUAAUUUUUUUGAACUGUAAAAAUGAAAUCUGUAGAAGGUAUUGGAACUUCUGGAAUGUUUCAGUUCAGGUCAUCCUCCAUGCCCUUCUGAUGUCCACAUGUCUCUUCAUUUUCUUCUCAGGCCUCCUCUUUCUCUCCUGCCAUCUAAGUUAUUGAAAUUCUUGAAAUCCUAAGCUGGCCUGGCACUGAGAGGUACUCUGUAAGGGAGCUGAAACUUCCAGCCUUUCUUCCUAUUCACAAACCCACCUUUACCCGCCCCCAAUGCUGGACUUUGGUUUUUCAUGUUGCUUUUGCAGAACUUUAAAACAUUUGAAUCUUUCCCUGAUGAGUUUUUGUCCUGAGGGGCCAGUACAGUUUGCGUGGCACUUGGUUUCCCUCUCAUAUAACUUUUCCCUGCCAAUAAGGCAUUUAGGCUGAGAGAAGUUAUUGAGCAUGUGCAUCCAAAUUUGAGAUGAUUGUUAUUUCAUUACCUGAUGACUUUAACUUCUUUGAUACUGUGUUUGUCUUAUGAAUAUAACGGCUUUCUCACUUUAAUGAAAAGUUAUACAAUAAAAUUGAAAAGUGAGUACUAUAUCUGUAAAAAUUAAUUCCUUUUUAAAUAUAAAGAAUUAAUGGAACCAGGCUUUUUAUUUUUUAUUUUAUUUUUUAUUUGUACAAAUCUAUGAGAUACAUGAGAAAUUUUGUUACAUGUGUAUAAUGUGUGGUGAUCAAGUCAGGGUAUUUGGGGUGUCCACCCGAGUACAAUACAUGUUUUAGUCACCCCAGUCAGCUGUUGGACAUUGAAUUUUUUCCUUCUAACUUACUGUAUGUUUGUACACUUUAACCCAGUUCUCCUUGUCCUCUUCCUCCCACCACUCAUGAUUCCCAGUCUCUGGUAUCUGUCUUUCCCUCUCUACCUCUAUGUGAUCAAAUUUUUUAGCUUCCACAUAUAAGUGGAAACGUGACAUUUGUCUUUUUUGCUUGGCUGUUUUCACUUAGAAUAAUGACCUCUGGUUUUAUCCAUGUUGCUGCAAAUGACAUGACUUCAUUUUUUUGUGGCUGAAUAGUAUUUCAUUGUGUAUAUGUACCACAUUUCCUGUAUCCAUUCGUCCACUGCUGGGCACUUAGGUUGAUUCCAUAUCUUUGCUAUUGUGAAUAGUGCUGCAAUAAACAUGAGGGUGAUAUAUAUCAAUAUAUCGUAUUGAUUUCUUUUCCUUUGGGUAGAUACCCAGUAGAGGGAUUGUUGGAUCCAGUGGUAAUUCUAAUUUUAGUUUUUUGAGAAAUCUUACUUUUCCAUAGUGGCUGUUUAAAUUCUCACCAAUGGUGGGUAAGAAUUAUUUUUAUCUACAUCCUUGCCAACAUCUGUUAUUUUUUGUCUUUUUAAUAAUAGCUCUUCUGACUGGGGUAAGAUUAUAUCUAAUUGUGAUUUUGAUUUUCAUUCUGAUGUUGGGCAUUUUUUCAUGUAUCUCUUGGUUACCUGUAUGUCUUCUCUUGAACAAUGUCUGUUCAUGUCCUUUGCC